GUAUUGUUUUCUUCAUACAGGUUGCUACCUUGUGGGGACAACUCUCAGCUCUGAUGAGGAACUUCUUGUGAUUGAUUACCACAAACAUGUCACACGAUUGUCGAUAGUAAUGAUUGUGACGUCAGAAGGCACGUGAUGCAUAUUACCUUAUACCGUGAUUGAUCAAUAGUUGUCAAGUACUCGUACUUGAUCGUCGCUAUAUACAUUUAAUACAUGACAGUACAGACUGCAGUUUAGUCUAAGACCUAACAAAGAAAUAGAAGGCCUCAGAUGGAGCCUCAACUACCAACCUCACUCUGUUGUCUCUGCAAGUCACUCCUUCCUAAAAAGACCAUCGCAGGAGGAAGAAACUGUAUGAAAGUGGCUGUACAAUUGUCAGGGAUGUUAUCAAAGAUAAUGCUGAUGCCCUCCUCUCAGUUGCAAACGAUCCAUCAGCAUUUAUUUGUCAUAGUUGCAAUAAGACAUUGGUUAACAUUAGAAACUGUGAGCUGUCUCUAAGAGCUGAAGUAUUGGACGUCUUCUCUAGCCUUGAUUAGACCUGGAUCAAAAAAGACUCUAGAUCAUUCAGCUGUCCCCGAAGCAAGAGUGUUUGCUCUGUUUCUACUGCUAUGCUUGGAGCUAGCCAUCCCAACACUCAGAUGUCAAGCCAGUCAGGGCAGACCGAAAUUCAGCAGGUUAUUAGUUUAAAGGCGUAUAUGCGCUAACAGCUAACAGUGUGAUGAAAAUAAUUAUGAUGUUGUCCAGGAGGAGUGUCAUAGUGAUGAGGCAACUCAGUCCGAGUGUGGAGGGCCCACAUCAGAGACAUCCAGUUCCAGUUUCAGAAACUAACAAUCAACAUCUCGAGGUUAUAUCUAUUUGGUUGAUCAGCCUACUAAUUUAUACUUGUAUACAUAUGUAGGUCCAUGUAGCAUAAAAGAAAUAUACACGGAAAUUCAGAGUUAACACUCCAUUAAGGAAAAGAGUUAUUAAAAAUGUUACUCGCAAGGGUUUCACGUCAAUUUAUUCUCAGUUUAUCAGUUCGCCUUCAAAGUAAAAGAAUGUGUUGUCUCAGUUGUCCAGGAAAAUAAAAUAGGAACUAACCACAAUAAUUAUGCUCAGAUAAUCAUGACUCGAUCCUUACAGAUCUUGUGAAGCAGUGAAGCAUUUUAGUUGGGAAACUGUUAGCCUUGAGUUGCAAAAAAAUGCUCACACUUUAAAGGAUGGCACCCACAAACAAAGUUCUUAUGCUCUGUUUUCUUGCAUCUGUGCUUUUGCAAGCCAGUGAAUGUGCCUAGUACUGUGAUGAUGUGGAACAGCAAAACUGGUGACUAUAAUUAUACAGUGUACUGGCUGCUUUAUAAUUAUAUUUAGCUCACAUUAACUUUCGUCCACCAUUGAGGAUAUGAAUGUCCUACCAAGGGACAAUGAACAUUAUCGAAAUGAUCACUGAAGACCAUGACAUAGAGAUCCAGACAUGGUGUGAUGAGCGACGACCUCUGAUACAACGUCCAGCUAAUGUAUUACUGUGUAUUUAUGCUGUACCAUAGUGUUGCAGUUGCUGUGAGGGCCAUAACAUUUACGUGACUAAGCUUUGAAGUGUUCCAAUUUCAGCAAAUGUAGUUCUAAAUUCAUCUCACCAUGUUGUCACACAAUGAGCCUCGUCCACCACCAGUCGUCGUAAAUUCUCUUUAUACACAGGUGACAUGAGCAUUUCCCGGUAAACACAAUUGUUGAUUGGGAUAGUAUAUACAAGUUCAAGCUCUCCACGCAAUUCUUUCUGAUGUAUAUCGGUCUGACUGUUACCAAUGAAAUCUGUUUUAAUGCCUCUAGCCUUUGAAAAUUCGACACCUGGUCCAUCAUCAAUUUUGCAGUAGCAUUAUAGUGGUGCAGGUGCUUUGAUGAAUAGCUAGCUGCAAGGACUAUAUAUAUACUUCAGCUACAUGCAUGUGCUUAGCCAGCUGAGUUCUGCAGGGUAUACCAGAGGGGCAUGCAGUGCCUAACGAUUAUAUGAACACAUUUCGUGUUCAUGUUCUGCUCUAUUAAUUAGAUACCGAGCAAGAGUGACUCUAACCCAGGUCCGCUAUUCGAUGAGUACACUGUAUAGUCAGCAGCAAUUGUUUUUUCAUCAGGUCUUUUGCUGCCACAUUCUUACCAUACUAUCUUUGCAAGCAGAUUAACCACGCUGGGUCAAUAGAAGAAUGGCUCACAUUCCUCGAUCAGAUCACACUGAUUAGGAAAUCGCUAUUUUUUGUUACCGCAGCUGAGAGACACAAUGUGGAUGAGAGCCUCCUCUUACUUCAGUUUCAGUAUGAGGUCUUCUUGACCAACCCAAGAAAGGGCAUAAGCCACAGCUGCACAUACCAAGGCCUUACUACAGAGUUCCUCCCUGCCGGAAAUGAUCAAGAAAGGACAGAAGCCCCCGUAUAUUGCCCUGACCGAAACUGAAGGCGAAGAAGUACAGGCGUUUCUUGUGGUGGACAGAUCCAUUGUGUGUGAAGCACCUCUUUCCGUUACCCACAAUCCUCGUUAGUGCCUUCUACAUGUUUAACAUUCAAUACCCACAGGGUUGCCAAAAUGCUUAUGAAUACAUUCUUUUGGCUCAUCCGUGAAAAUACCUACUUCUGUCAAACACCUGAUUUCAUCGUUACAGAACGUUACAUUUGAGUAGACAUUCAUCUCGAUCCAAGCCAUAAUUAUAUUUUGUGCUGCUCUCUGAUGUGUUGUGAAUAAUAUUGUCACCCAAAUGAGAAGAUUGAAAGUGUAUAAUUAUGCAUGUAAAAGUAGUGUAAUUAUGUAAGUGGGUGUGAACUUCCCACUUUUUCUGGUGUAUUUUCCCACCAAUAUUGGUGUAGGUUUCACACUAAAAAAAAAAAACGAGGGGGCAAAGGCAGAAGUGGAUUACCAAAGAUUUCCCCAAAGUAGUUAAAGUCCUGGAAGUUUUCCCAUGUCUACGAGAACACAAAAUUAUGCUCAGCAAACUUUGCUUCCUGACUGGCAGCAGUGAAUCGGCUAUUACUACCAGAUGGGACAAAGUACAACAGCAAGUGCUGAGUUUCACUGCCAGGGAAAUAGAGGAAGACAGUAAAGGGUCUCCUGUCUGAGUAUUCUUCAAUUGGGGUUAAGAGUGAAGAUUGUACCACGGCAUAUGUAAUCAAGAUUUUGCUUGCUCUGCUCCAGUCAAGGGGAAAGGAAAAUAAGUCCUUCAUUACGUUUUACCUGGGGGAGAGUGUGGACUUAGAGGACAGUCUUGAUGAGGUCCAAACCAAUGAGCCAGUGGUUCUCUCAUUCGGAGAUGAGUUGAGCAGUGUCAGCAUCUUUAAGUUAAUUGUUGAGAAGGACAAUGUGUUUCAUAUGCCGUCCCUUUCGGUUGCAGUUCACUCCGCAUAUUAUAUUUACAAUAUCACCUUCCCUCCAUCAUUUUGCACUUUAUGGUCUUUUUGGAGAAUUAUGUUUAUGAAAUGAAGGCUUCUCAGAAGCCAUCACUUUGUGUUACCACCCUAGCUGAUAGUUUGAUUCGAGAAACUCUUAACUGACUUUACUGACUUAAUACAUGUACUUGUAUCUUGGUCACAAUAUUAUUGUUUCUUGUACAUUGGUGUUUAAUGUGAUG